rnacentral:rRNA from 1 species
UACGUAGGUGGCAAGCGUUUUGUCCGGAAUUUAUUGGGCGUAAAGCGCGCGCAGGCGGUCCUUUAAGUCUGAUGUGAAAGCCCACGGCUCAACCGUGGAGGGUCAUUGGAAACUGGGGGGACUUUUGAGUGCAGGAGAGAGGAGUGGAAUUCCACGUGUAGCGGUGAAAUGCGUAGAGAUGUGGAGGAACACCAGUGGCGAAGGCGACUCUUUGGCCUGUAACUGACGCUGAGGCGCGAAAAGCGUGGGGGAGCAAACGGGG